rnacentral:lncRNA from 1 species
GUCAGAGGAAGGGGAUUGUGAUGAGAGGAAAGGCCAGGGGACUGGGACACUUUUUCCUUUGUGAUUAUAAAAUUGAACAGACAAGGUUGCUUCAAGCUAGGAAGUUGCUGCUGGAAGUAUUUAGCUUUGCUGGGGCUGGGGGGCUUGACACCCACAGCCUUAUACUCCUUCCUGAGUUUCAUCCCAUCUCACAGGUUCUCCCCAACUUCAUGGCCUUUGCCUAUCUAGGAGCCUCAGACACAUAGGCUAGACAAAGGCCUCAUCCACAUGAUGCGCAGGUAUGGGUCUAGCUCCUGCAUGAGCUCAACAUCUGGGCCUGUCUGAGCUGCACAGCUGAAGAAAGAGACAAGAUGUCUAUAGCCUCACCCACUUGGGAGUACUUUUAGGAUCAACACUUGUGGACGGGAGAAGAUGGAAGCAGGACUGGGUAGAAGAAGAAGCUGGGCUGCAAUGAAGUCCCAUUGAAGACCUCAGCUGACCUUGCAUGGAGCCUGCAUCCCAUCCAGGAUACCUGUUACAUUUACUUGUCAUAUCUCCUCAAGCUUCUCUUGGCUAUGACAGUUUUUUAGACUUUCCUUGAUUUUGAUGACCUUGACAGUUUUGAGGAGUUCUGGGCCCGAUGUUGCAGAAUGCCUCCUUAUUGAAAUUUGUCUGAUGUUUUCCUCAUGAUUAGAUUGGGGUUGUGAGUUUUGGGGGGAAGGUAAUAGAGGAAAAGUGUCAUCUUCAUCACAUCAUAUUAAAGGUACAUAUUAGUGACAUG